UACAGAGACUGCAAGCGUUAUUCGGAUUCACUGGGCGUAAAGGGUGCGCAGGCGGCCGAGUGUGUGAGGCGUGAAAGCCCGGGGCUUAACCCCGGAAUUGCACCUCAAACUACACGGCUAGAGCAUUGGAGAGGGUAGCAGAAUUCAUGGUGUAGCAGUGAAAUGCGUAGAUAUCAUGAGGAAUACCAGAGGCGAAGGCGGCUACCUGGACAAUUGCUGACGCUCAGGCACGAAAGCGUGGGAGCAAAAGGG
rnacentral:rRNA from 1 species